CCGUGCAUAAUAGUCGGUUGUUGGGAAUGAAUCAUCUUCGCUUUUUUUUUUUUUUUUUAAACUGGUAUCUGUCAAAUCUCCCCAGACCCCACCUGAUGGGAUUAUACUAGGUAUGUUGUUGUUCUUUGUCAAACCUUUCAUUACUGAAUUGAAGUUAGUAGUCUCUUGCUCUUUGACUUCCUACCUCCUCCAGCAAACAAGAAUAUAUAACUGUAAAAUGGAGCAAUCUGCAUCAACAAUUCGUUGUGUUGUUUUCAGUUUGAUUCAUCUUAAAUCCCCCACUAUCCCGAAUUACCAAUCCUGACACAUAACAUGGGUAGAUUGAAAUAGAUAAAACUGGAAAGCACCCAAGGGUGUGACCUAGUAGUUAGUAAAGUGGGAGGAGAACCAUGAGAUCUCCGGUUCAAAUCAUAGCGAAAGUAAAAACAUUAAGUAAUUUCUUCUCAUUUGUCUAAGCCUUGGUGGACAAUGUUAUCUGUUGCUGGUGGGAGGUAGCACGUAUCCCGUGGAAUUAGUUAUUGCUGGUGAGAGGUAGCAGGUAUCUUUGUGGAAUUAAUCGAGGUGCGCAUAAGCUGGCCCAGACACCACGGUUAUAAAAAAAAAAUUGAUAAAUUUGGAAUCAAAUAUCUCCAAUUCGCAGUGUACUAACAAGUUUAUGGAGAAAUAUCUAAGUUCCUACUCCACAGUUAUUAAUCAGCUUAAUUACUCUUAAAUGUUUUGGUUUUCUUAAAAUAACUACUAUCCUUGGCUGUACUGAACGAGUUAUUUGAAAUAAGAUGCAACAACUAAGCUUUAAUUGAAGACACAUCAUAUAUAAAAUGGUUUGUGAGUGACUCACACCACAUCUCCAACA